rfam:Pristionchus pacificus strain PS312 contig1442, whole genome shotgun sequence.
GCAGCGAUGUCCGAGUGGUUAAGGAGUUAGACUUGAAAUCUAAUGGGCAUUGCCCGCGUAGGUUCGAACCCUGCUCGCUGCG